rnacentral:rRNA from 1 species
AGAGUUUGAUCCUGGCUCAGAUUGAACGCUGGCGGCAUGCCUUACACAUGCAAGUCGAACGGCAGCACGGGAGCUUGCUCCUGGUGGCGAGUGGCGAACGGGUGAGUAAUAUAUCGGAACGUACCCUAGAGUGGGGGAUAACGCAGCGAAAGUUGCGCUAAUACCGCAUACGAUCUACGGAUGAAAGUGGGGGAUCGCAAGACCUCAUGCUCAUGGAGCGGCCGAUAUCUGAUUAGCUAGUUGGUAGGGUAAAAGCCUACCAAGGCUUCGAUCAGUAGCUGGUCUGAGAGGACGACCAGCCACACUGGAACUGAGACACGGUCCAGACUCCUACGGGAGGCAGCAGUGGGGAAUUUUGGACAAUGGGGGCAACCCUGAUCCAGCCAUUCCGCGUGAGUGAAGAAGGCCUUCGGGUUGUAAAGCUCUUUCAGCUGGAACGAAACGGUACGCUCUAACAUAGCGUGCUAAUGACGGUACCUGAAGAAUAAGCACCGGCUAACUACGCGCCAGCAGCCGCGGUAAUACGUAGGGUGCAAGCGUUAAUCGGAAUUACUGGGCGUAAAGCGUGCGCAGGCGGUUUGGUAAGACAGAUGUGAAAUCCCCGGGCUCAACCUGGGAAUUGCAUUUGUGACUGCCCGACUAGAGUGUGUCAGAGGGGGGUAGAAUUCCACGUGUAGCAGUGAAAUGCGUAGAGAUGUGGAGGAAUACCGAUGGCGAAGGCAGCCCCCUGGGAUAACACUGACGCUCAUGCACGAAGCGUGGGGAGCAAACAGGAUUAGAUACCCUGGUAGUCCACGCCCUAAACGAUGUCUACUAGUUGUUGGGUCUUAAUUGACUUAGUAACGCAGCUAACGCGUGAAGUAGACCGCCUGGGGAGUACGGUCGCAAGAUUAAAACUCAAAGGAAUUGACGG